ACAGUUCCUGGUUCAUUUUUCCUGUUUGCCAGUCAAGCGAGUGUUCGUCACUUUUGUCUUUCUCUGCGGGAUUAAAAGUGGCAAACAUCUUUUUGUUUCGCGCUGACAUCAUGAACUUGUUUUUAUUCUUUCUUCUGGUCGUGCAAAUGCACAGCGUGACGCCUGUGAUUCACACGCUGCAGUAUUUCCGCACUGUGUCCUCUCAAGUUACAAACUUCCCAGAGUAUGUGAGUGUUGGUUAUGUUGAUGGAGUUCAGAUUUCUCACUAUGACAGCAACAGCAGGAAAGAUGAAGCCAAACAGGACUGGAUGAACAAAAUCACAGCAGAGAAUCCAAAAUACUGGCAGAGACAAACAGAGAUCAGUGUUGCUAAUGAGUUGAGGGGCAAACACAACCUUGAAGUUCUUAAGAAGCGUUUCAACCAAACUGGAAGUGUUCACAUUUUCCAGAUGAUGUCUGGAUGUGAAUGGAAUGAUGAGACUGAUGAAGUUAAAGGUUGGGAACAGCAAGGUUAUGAUGGAGAAGAUUUGAUAUCGUUGGACAUGAAGACAUGGACAUAUACUGCAGCAAAACAACAAGCUUUCCCCACCAAACUCGAGUGGGACCAGAACAAACAUCUACUAGAAUACAUAAAGUUUUACUACACUGAGGAUUGUCCUUCUUACUUGAAGAAGCAUGUGAACAAUGGGAAGGAGGUCCUAAUGAGAACAGAGCUUCCAGAGGUGUUCCUGCUCCAGAAGACGCCGUCCUCUCCGGUCAGCUGCAUGGCGACAGGUUUCUACCCCGACGGUGCCGACCUGUUUUGGAGGAAAGACGGCGAGCAGAUCUUCGAGGACGUGGAGCACGGAGAGAUACUCCCCAACCACGACGGAACCUUCCAGAUGUCGGUGCACUUGAAAGUGGAGGUGACGGCCGACGUGGAGGGCAAGUACGAAUGUGUGUUUCAGCUGUCAGGCGUCAAGGAGGACUUGGUCACCAAGCUGGAGAGAAGAAGCAUCCUGAGCAACGCAAGCCAUGAAGACAACUUGAGCGUCGCCCUCGCUGCCACGGCGGCGGUCCUCGCUGUGGCGGCCAUCAUCAUCAUCAUCAUCAUGGUCAUGGUCAGGCGUCACAGAAACAGACAAGCCCAGUACGAUCCAGCUCGAGUCCUCAUGAUGAGGAUCAGCCAAAUGAGACAUCAAGUGUGCUGACUCGUCAUGUUUCCAAGUCACACCUCAAAGAUCUGAUCUCGCCACGGCGGCGUGGAGCUCGACGAGAACGUGCAGGCAGCUGAAGGCUGAGAUGCUUUGUGCACUGGAACACAGGGAGAUGUCUCCAUCGCUGAGGGACGUCAUCACACUCGGAGAUGAGAUGGAGAUGUGCUUUAUUCUUCAUCCGACUGCUGCUCACGCUAUUCCAUGUAUUCUUCUUUGGCCGUUAAAAGACUUUCAAGAUCAAACGUUGGUGGCUAUAAAAUCAUUCGGGGCGCACGUUUCAUGGCCCUGACGUCAUGAGGAGGAUUUCUUCUUUUCUUUCAAUGGCCGCUGCUUAUGAUCAAUAUCACAUUGUGUCACAUCCUUACUCAAUAAAUCCGUUUUUUCUCCA